rnacentral:lncRNA from 1 species
GGGCACUCAAGAUACUAGUAACAUGCUUCUCUUUUGGUCUGACCCAGCAAUAACAAUCCACAUAGUAAAACAGGAGUAAUUUGGUUUUAUUUUUUAAUUUACUUUUUUUUUUAAAUUCGAAGUCACUUCAGGUUCUGAACAAUGGUAGUCACAAAACCACGCAAGUGCCCAGACCAUGUCUAAGAGCAAGACACAGAUGUCUUCAUGUUUACGAUUAUCGAACAAGGUCAAGAGGAAAAGAUGCCAGGGAUCCUGCAAAGAAAUUAUUGACCUCAGUCAGAAAAAGCAAAAGAUGAAGGGUUUGGGAAGAGAAGGAAGUACCAGAGAGCGAUGCCUCUAUGAAAGCUGA